AGCAGCCGCGGUAAUUCCAGCUCCAAUAGCGUAUAUUAAAGUUGCUGCAGUUAAAAGCUCGUAGUUGAAUUUCGGGAUUAAUAUGUCGGUCGUGCCUCGGUACGCACUGGCUUAUUGGUUUCUCCCUUCUGACGAACCAUGAUGUCAUUAAUUUGGUGUCUUGGGAAAUCAGGACUGUUACUUUGAAAAAUUGAGUGUUUAAAGCAGGCUCACGCUUGAAUACAUUAGCAUGGAAUAAUGAAAUAGGACGUUUGAUUCUAUUUUGUUGGUUUCUAGGAUCGACGUAAUGAUUAAUAGGGAUAGUUGGGGGCAUUAGUAUUCAA
rnacentral:rRNA from 1 species